GUACGGAAGGCAGCAGUAGGGAAUAUUGCACAAUGGGCGAAAGCCUGAUGCAGCAACGCCGCGUGCGCGAAGAAGGCCCUCGGGUCGUAAAGCGCUUUUCUGAGAGAUGAGUAAGGACAGUAUCUCAGGAAUAAGUCUCGGCUAACUACGUGCCAGCAGCCGCGGUAAAACGUAGGAGGCAAGCGUUAUCCGGAUUCACUGGGCGUAAAGCGCGUGCAGGCGGUUCGGUAAGUUGGGCGUGAAAUCUCCUGGCUUAACUAGGAGAGGUCGUUCAAUACUACCGGACUUGAGAGUGAUAGAGGAAGAUGGAAUUCCCGGUGUAGUGGUGAAAUGCGUAGAUAUCGGGAGGAACACCAGUGGCGAAAGCGAUCUUCUGGAUCAUUUCUGACGCUCAGACGCGAAAGCUAGGGUAGUAAACGGGAUUAGAUACCCCCGUA
rnacentral:rRNA from 1 species